AACGAACGCUGGCGGCAGGCUUAACACAUGCAAGUCGAACGGGCACCUUCGGGUGUCAGUGGCAGACGGGUGAGUAACGCGUGGGAACGUACCCUUCGGUUCGGAAUAACCCAGGGAAACUUGGGCUAACACCGGAUACGUCCGCAAGGAGAAAGAUUUAUCGCCGAAGGAUCGGCCCGCGUCGGAUUAGCUAGUUGGUGGGGUAAUGGCCCACCAAGGCGACGAUCCGUAGCUGGUCUGAGAGGAUGANCAGCCACACUGGGACUGAGACACGGCCCAGACUCCUACGGGAGGCAGCAGUGGGGAAUAUUGGACAAUGGGCGAAAGCCUGAUCCAGCCAUGCCGCGUGAGUGAAGAAGGCCUUAGGGUUGUAAAGCUCUUUCAGCGGGAAGA
rnacentral:rRNA from 1 species